rnacentral:rRNA from 1 species
AGUGAACGCUGGCGGUAGGCCUAACACAUGCAAGUCGAACGGCAGCACAGUAAGGGCUUGCUCUUACGGGUGGCGAGUGGCGGACGGGUGAGGAAUACAUCGGAAUCUACUUUUUCGUGGGGGAUAACGUAGGGAAACUUACGCUAAUACCGCAUACGACCUACGGGUGAAAGCAGGGGAUCUUCGGACCUUGCGCGAUUGAAUGAGCCGAUGUCGGAUUAGCUAGUUGGCGGGGUAAAGGCCCACCAAGGCGACGAUCCGUAGCUGGUCUGAGAGGAUGAUCAGCCACACUGGAACUGAGACACGGUCCAGACUCCUACGGGAGGCAGCAGUGGGAAUAUUGGACAAUGGGCGCAAGCCUGAUCCAGCCAUACCGCGUGGGUGAAGAAGGCCUUCGGGUUGUAAAGCCCUUUUGUUGGGAAAGAAAAGCAGCAGGUUAAUACCCCGCUGUUCUGACGGUACCCAAAGAAUAAGCACCGGCUAACUUCGUG